UUUCUCUUCACCUCUCUAUCUUCUCUUCACCAUUGUUCCAUCUUCACCAUUGUUUUCUCUCUUACCUCUUUGUCUUCUCCUCCACCAUUUCUCUUCACCAUUGUUCCAUCUUACCUGAAGAGGAGGCAUCGAUUUACGCCGUCGAAGCGAAAAGAGGAGCCUAUAAAACAUCGUGAGGUCCCGUCGUCCCUCUACGUCCUCUGACCCCUUUUCUUCGGACAGCCACCUCUGCCCUCUCCUCUGGGUUGGGUAACACUACAAUUGACCCGAGAUCCCACCUUUGCAAGAGGAUUCUUGUCUGCUAGAUCCGUCACUGGGUUUCUUUCAGAUGUUUAUUCUGUAGCUGCUGAUGAAGUUGGGAAAAUUUUUGUUAUUGCUGAUGAAAGGGCAGAUCUUAGCAAACCAGAGACAAUUCCUGCAACGUUAGUUGUCAUUCACACUGUUAUUGAUUGUGCCACAGGGCACCCAGAAGAGCCUAUAAAG